rnacentral:rRNA from 1 species
AUUGAACGCUGGCGGCAGGCCUAACACAUGCAAGUCGAGCGAGCGGCGGACGGGUGAGUAAUGUCUGGGAAACUGCCUGAUGGAGGGGGAUAACUACUGGAAACGGUAGCUAAUACCGCAUACCAUCAGAUGUGCCCAGAUGGGAUUAGCUAGUAGGUGGGGUAACGGCUCACCUAGGCGACGAGCCCUAGCUGGUCUGAGAGGAUGACCAGCCACACUGGAACUGAUACACGGGCCAGACUCCUACGGUAGGCAGCAGGGGGGAAUAUUGCACAAUGGGCGCAAGCCUGAUGCAGCCAUGCCGCGUGUGUGAAGAAGGCCUUCGGGUUGUAAAGUACUUUCAGCGGGGAGGCGUUAACCGCAGAAGAAGCACCGGCUAACUCCGUGCCAGCCGCCGCGGUAAUUC